AUGGCGGAUGGAGUAGGAUCGCAGAGGGAGAAGGGAAAAGAGACAGCAGAGGAUCUGCUCGCUCGCCUUACUCUGCAGGAGGAGGAGGAAGAUGAUUUUGUGUGGGAAGAAGAACUCCCGGAUCUGAUGGAACCGGCGCAAUGGCUGGCGAUCGCCAGGGUACACACAUCAAAAACCUUCAGCCCUAAUGCACUCUAUGGCGACAUGCGGGCAGCCUGGAACCCGGCUAAGACAGUAGUUUGGAGGAAGAUCAGGGAGAACCUCUUUACAACUCAAUUUGGGUGCCUUGCAGAUUGGAAGAAAGCUAUGCUAGUGUUGGGGAACGUAGCAGAAAUUCAAAAUUUUCUUACGUGUCACCAAGAUCUAUCUAUGGAGAGACCAGCAACGAGUAGAAAGAGAGUGCAUCUACAUACCCUUGUAGAUCGCUAA
rnacentral:rRNA from 1 species